AGGACGAACGCUGGCGGCGUGCCUAACACAUGCAAGUCGAACGAGGUCCAACCGGUAGCAAUACCGGUGAAGAUCAAGUGGCGAACGGGUGAGUAGCACGUGAGCAACCUGCCCCGAAGACCGGGACAAACACCGGGAAACCGGUGCUAAUACCGGAUAUCCCCACCGAGUCGCAUGGCUCAGUGAGGAAAUGGAUUCCGCUUCGGGAGGGCUCGCGGCCUAUCAGCUAGUUGGUGAGGUAACGGCUCACCAAGGCUUCGACGGGUAGCUGGUCUGAGAGGACGAUCAGCCACACUGGGACUGAGACACGGCCCAGACUCCUACGGGAGGCAGCGGUGGGGAAUCUUGCACAAUGGGCGAAAGCCUGAUGCAGCAACGCCGCGUGAGGGACGAAGGCUUUCUGAGUUGUAAACCUCUUUCAGCAGGGACGAUUGUGACGGUACUGCAGAAGAAGCCCGGCAACACGUGCCAGCAGCCGCGGU
rnacentral:rRNA from 1 species